GGUUAAGUUAGAAAGGGCGCACGGUGGAUGCCUUGACACUAGGAGUCGAUGAAGGACGGGACUAACGCCGAUAUGCUUCGGGGAGCUGUAAGUAAGCUUUGAUCCGAAGAUUUCCGAAUGGGGAAACCCACCAUACGUAAUGGUAUGGUAUCCUUAUCUGAAUACAUAGGGUAAGGAAGACAGACCCAGGGAACUGAAACAUCUAAGUACCUGGAGGAAGAGAAAGCAAAUGCGAUUUCCUGAGUAGCGGCGAGCGAAACGGAACAUAGCCCAAACCAAGAGGCUUGCCUCUUGGGGUUGUAGGACAUUCUAUACGGAGUUACAAAGGAACGAGGUAGACGAAGCGACCUGGAAAGGUCCGUCGUAGAGGGUAACAACCCCGUAGUCGAAACUUCGUUCUCUCUUGAAUGUAUCCUGAGUACGGCGGAACACGUGAAAUUCCGUCGGAAUCUGGGAGGACCAUCUCCCAAGGCUAAAUACUCCCUAGUGAUCGAUAGUGAACCAGUACCGUGAGGGAAAGGUGAAAAGCACCCCGGAAGGGGAGUGAAAGAGAUCCUGAAACCGUGUGCCUACAAAUAGUCAGAGCCCGUUAACGGGUGAUGGCGUGCCUUUUGUAGAAUGAACCGGCGAGUUACGAUCCCGUGCAAGGUUAAGCUGAAGAGGCGGAGCCGCAGCGAAAGCGAGUCUGAAUAGGGCGUUUAGUACGUGGUCGUAGACCCGAAACCAGGUGAUCUACCCAUGUCCAGGGUGAAGUUCAGGUAACACUGAAUGGAGGCCCGAACCCACGCACGUUGAAAAGUGCGGGGAUGAGGUGUGGGUAGCGGAGAAAUUCCAAUCGAACCUGGAGAUAGCUGGUUCUCCCCGAAAUAGCUUUAGGGCUAGCCUUAAGUGUAAGAGUCUUGGAGGUAGAGCACUGAUUGGACUAGGGGUCCUCAUCGGAUUACCGAAUUCAGUCAAACUCCGAAUGCCAAUGACUUAUCCUUAGGAGUCAGACUGCGAGUGAUAAGAUCCGUAGUCAAAAGGGAAACAGCCCAGACCGCCAGCUAAGGUCCCAAAGUGUGUAUUAAGUGGAAAAGGAUGUGGAGUUGCUUAGACAACUAGGAUGUUGGCUUAGAAGCAGCCACCAUUUAAAGAGUGCGUAAUAGCUCACUAGUCGAGUGACUCUGCGCCGAAAAUGUACCGGGGCUAAAUACACCACCGAAGCUGCGGAUUGAUACCAAUGGUAUCAGUGGUAGGGGAGCGUUCUAAGGACAGUGAAGUCAGACCGGAAGGACUGGUGGAGUGCUUAGAAGUGAGAAUGCCGGUAUGAGUAGCGAAAGACGGGUGAGAAUCCCGUCCACCGAAUGCCUAAGGUUUCCUGAGGAAGGCUCGUCCGCUCAGGGUUAGUCAGGACCUAAGCCGAGGCCGACAGGCGUAGGCGAUGGACAACAGGUUGAUAUUCCUGUACCACCUCUUUAUCGUUUGAGCAAUGGAGGGACGCAGAAGGAUAGAAGAAGCGUGCGAUUGGUUGUGCACGUCCAAGCAGUUAGGCUGAUAAGUAGGCAAAUCCGCUUAUCGUAAAGGCUGAGCUGUGAUGGGGAAGCUCCUUAUGGAGCGAAGUCUUUGAUUCCCCGCUGCCAAGAAAAGCUUCUAGCGAGAUAAAAGGUGCCUGUACCGCAAACCGACACAGGUAGGCGAGGAGAGAAUCCUAAGGUGUGCGAGAGAACUCUGGUUAAGGAACUCGGCAAAAUGACCCCGUAACUUCGGGAGAAGGGGUGCUUUCUUAACGGAAAGCCGCAGUGAAUAGGCCCAAGCGACUGUUUAGCAAAAACACAGCUCUCUGCGAAGCCGUAAGGCGAAGUAUAGGGGGUGACACCUGCCCGGUGCUGGAAGGUUAAGGAGAGGGGUUAGCGUAAGCGAAGCUCUGAACUGAAGCCCCAGUAAACGGCGGCCGUAACUAUAACGGUCCUAAGGUAGCGAAAUUCCUUGUCGGGUAAGUUCCGACCCGCACGAAAGGUGUAACGAUUUGGGCACUGUCUCAACCAGAGACUCGGUGAAAUUAUAGUACCUGUGAAGAUGCAGGUUACCCGCGACAGGACGGAAAGACCCCGUGGAGCUUUACUGUAGCCUGAUAUUGAAUUUUGGUACAGUUUGUACAGGAUAGGCGGGAGCCUUUGAAACCGGAGCGCUAGCUUCGGUGGAGGCGCUGGUGGGAUACCGCCCUGACUGUAUUGAAAUUCUAACCUACGGGUCUUAUCGACCCGGGAGACAGUGUCAGGUGGGCAGUUUGACUGGGGCGGUCGCCUCCUAAAGUGUAACGGAGGCGCCCAAAGGUUCCCUCAGAAUGGUUGGAAAUCAUUCGUAGAGUGCAAAGGCAUAAGGGAGCUUGACUGCGAGACCUACAAGUCGAGCAGGGACGAAAGUCGGGCUUAGUGAUCCGGUGGUUCCGCAUGGAAGGGCCAUCGCUCAACGGAUAAAAGCUACCCCGGGGAUAACAGGCUUAUCUCCCCCAAGAGUCCACAUCGACGGGGAGGUUUGGCACCUCGAUGUCGGCUCAUCGCAUCCUGGGGCUGUAGUCGGUCCCAAGGGUUGGGCUGUUCGCCCAUUAAAGCGGUACGCGAGCUGGGUUCAGAACGUCGUGAGACAGUUCGGUCCCUAUCCGUCGUGGGCGUAGGAAAUUUGAGAGGAGCUGUCCUUAGUACGAGAGGACCGGGAUGGACGCACCGCUGGUGUACCAGUUGUUCUGCCAAGGGCAUAGCUGGGUAGCUAUGUGCGGAAGGGAUAAGUGCUGAAAGCAUCUAAGCAUGAAGCCCCCCUCAAGAUGAGAUUUCCCAUAGCGUAAGCUAGUAAGAUCCCUGAAAGAUGAUCAGGUUGAUAGGUUCGAGGUGGAAGCAUGGUGACAUGUGGAGCUGACGAAUACUAAUAGAUCGAGGACUUAACCAU
rnacentral:rRNA from 1 species